UAGAUACGUCCGAUCAAUUUUAAGCCAGUGCUGCCAACGUCAAUCGGCAGCGUCCUUAAAAUGACCUUCGCUUCGACAAUCUUAUUCGUGGCCGAAUGCUGUAGCAAUACGGCUACGAUGAAUUUUUAUCAAACCUGAACUCCGAUAAAUACCGUAGAAGUCAAUAUUGUCGACGAGUUAACAGGAUAUCGGGUAUACGUUUUUGGUGACAUUUGACCUAGCAAUUGCUUAACUCGGAUGUGAAUCAUUGACGUCACUUUCUAUCGUGCAACGCCACUUUCUUGGAAACAGCAAGGACUUGUGGAACGGAACAAAGAGUAUAGUAGAGAGUGGAAGCGUAGUGGUGGAAGCUGACCGUGUAAGGUGAGCAGCGCCUCUACAGUCGCAGAAUCCUAACUAUUCUUCUCCGCCCUCUCUCACGCUAAUUCUUGGAUGUCACAUAACCUAUCCAGAAUAGCCUGGUCUUUUUAUACCUCUUCUAGGCGUGGUCUGAGAGAAACUUGAAAAGAGUGAUACAUUUUAAUAUAUUUUCUGUGUGAUACAAUUUUGUGAUUAAAAUGGGGUUGCGAUGUUUCGUGAAAUAUAGAAAGAAUAUAGAGUUAACGAAGAGCACUCUUUUUCCAACCGCCAAAAAAAACAAAAACCACUACUGCGUGAUCUAUGCACCGAGCUGAUGCCGUAAUUAGGAAGAGAGAGCACAGCUGGAGUUGGACCACGGUGUAAGAAUAAGAGGUGGUUCGACUGACCCGCGGUCACUGUGAUUAUUUUGUCUUUGUACGACGGAAAUCCACCAGGGGCCUCAUGCAUCGGUGAGGAUGAAACGCAUGAGAUCCCUGGCGGGUUUCCGUCGUACUAAGACAUAAUAAUCACAGAGCUCAACACAGGGAGUGUAGGGAAGUCGGACCACCUCUUAUUCUUACACCGUGAGCUGAACCUCUCUGUUGUACGACGAAAGGGCGGGGAGCAGCUGCUAGGCAGCGAGAGCAAUAAGGUUGAAAAACACAAUCGGGGAGGUAUACUUUUAUGAGGUUAUGUGUUUCAUCCGCCGAGCACCAAUUAGAAUGAGAGGUUCGGCUCCUGUUGUUGCCGUUUCUUUCUGAUUAUAUCUUGAACUCGGUGUACAGCCGCAAAAUCUAUCUGCCUGAGUACACGGCGUAUUUCAUAAAAGAAAGGAGUGCAAAGGCAUUGAAAGUACGCAAAAGCACCAUGAUGAAAUGAAAAAAAAAGUGACUUGCCAGCUGACAUCUCUUCUGAUGUAGGACAUUCAAUUUUGUACCAAAGUGACAUUAUCAACAAGAAAAUUGAAACGAAUAAUGACAAUUUAAUGUGGAACUGAAAUUACUCAAUUUGAGGGCAAGUUUGGUCCUCAGCUUUUUUGUUUUUUCUCUGCUUUCAGUCCAAAACUGUGAUAAUUGGCUGAAGAUUAUUCUUCGGCGAACACUGUGAGUAUGUCUCAGACACAAAAUCAAUGAUUAAAACAUUAAUUACAUUAUCUUAAAGUUACUAAUUCUGAAUCUUAAGCUUAUUAACAUAACUCUAAAUACUAAUCAGAAAUUUUAUCAUCAGUGAUGUAUUUUGAAUCGUUCAGUUACUUUUUUAUACCCGACAUAUGACAGUUUGAUUAAAUAUUAGUAGAAAAAUUCAAGUGCGAAUAUUGUAUACACUAACAAAUGUAAAACUGAAUGAGCGACUCCAAUGUGCAGAUGAACAGUAGUAAGUUGUCCUGGGAUACAGAAACUAUUUAACAAUAAAUACGAAAUAUGAACACGGACUUGUUCUGAAAUUUGAAUUAUUUAAUCAAAAUGUGUUCAUAUUCAGAGUCGCAGACAGGGUACCAUGAUUAACGGUAAAAGUGAAAAUGUAGAAAAUAAUAAGUUUUAGUUCGGGUUCAAUCUACAGGAUGGAGAUGAAAAAAUCCCUGAUGAAACGAUUGGUAAGCCAAUAAUAAAAUGAACAACAUUGGGCGAACAUAUGUCGUAUACACGUAAGAACCGGCACUUACUUUUGCUCAUUUUUCGGACCUGGAUGCUGCAAAGUAGCUCCAUUUAAUGGACAGGUAGAAGCAGGUGGAGUUGCUAUAGAAAAGAUAUAUACUGAAUUGGUGUGCUAAUAGUCAUAGUGGAGCCAUCCCAUAGUGGAUAAUGUAAGGGUAUAGAGUAAUCCUGAGUAACUCAAGUGACUGACUUCACCUCAUGUUUUCUGUGUACAAAUAUACUGCCCACUGAUAGAUGUAGGCAUACCCAAUAUUUCAUAAUUUGCGAUCUUGAUUUCUUUAGUGAUCU